AUGUACUCACGUACAUUCCGGUUCCUGCGCUCCGUGCGCCUUGCACUUCGGCCUGCUCGCUACACUUUUAAAACA
rnacentral:sRNA from 1 species